rnacentral:lncRNA from 1 species
CUGAAGCGGUCUCAUUGCCACCAACCAAAGCCGCCUCUUUCAAACCCUAAUCCCCUGUUUCCUUUCAUAAGCAUGAGCUUCAUCAUGGUCAUCGUUUCUGGUCCUGUAUGCGGAUUGCGUGAUUCGUCUCUUGACUCCUGCAAUCGAGGCUGAAGAAGAAUAACAACUCAGUUUAAAAGACUGAGGCUGAGGCAGUUGAGACAAUCUGGAAAACACGUAAAGAGGUCAUCAACAUGUAGACAGAAUUACCAAGAUGUACAGUGGUGGAUCCAGAAUUCUUUUUCACCGGUUCUUUUGGUAGAUUCUUACAAGUUCUCGCUAAUUUUUUCCAAAUCAUACAAGGUUUCCACUAAUUUUUCCACUUUUUCUAAACCAAACCCCCAAAAACCCCUUGGAUCCGCCCCUGAAGAUGUAGAUGCAAAAAAUAUUUUUGGUCUUAGACCGAAUGCAAGGUGUAUAAGACCAUAGUGUGUAAAUGAAUCGAGUUGCUCGUGAAGUACUUGAGAGACUAGUCGUUAAAAAUUAAAAUUAAAGCAAUGUUAACUAAUUUUUAUUUGACCUCAUUUAACAAAGAGGUGGAGACCAACCUUCAUACAUGGAUCGUGAGUCUAAACGA